UUGCUUCACAGGACAAAAGGGAUUUUAAUUUGAAGAAAGAGAGGAAGAGAGAAAAUGACAAAGGGAAGAGAACUAACGGGCGGGAAGGGUGAGAGACAAAAGGAAAAGAUAAGAGAGAAGCACAAAAGGUGGUGGCGUCUCACAGGUCAGAAGAAGCUGCGUGAUGGGAGGUAAAGCAUUCUCUUCCCUGCAUUUUUCUUUGCCACUUACCCUCCUCCCCUCCCCUUUCUCCUGCCUCACCCCCAACUUGCUCAA
rnacentral:lncRNA from 1 species